AACGUGUCGCGAUGAAUG
rnacentral:rRNA from 1 species